rnacentral:rRNA from 1 species
GCCCAGACUCCUACGGGAGGCAGCAGUGGGGAAUAUUGCACAAUGGGCGAAAGCCUGAUGCAGCAACGCCGCGUGAAGGAAGACGGUUUUCGGAUUGUAAACUUCUAUCAAUAGGGAAGAAAGAAAUGACGGUACCUAAAUAAGAAGCCCCGGCUAACUACGUGCCAGCAGCCGCGGUAAUACGUAGGGGGCAAGCGUUAUCCGGAUUUACUGGGUGUAAAGGGAGCGUAGACGGCCAUUCAAGCCAGAUGUGAAGGCCCGGGGCUCAACCCCGGGACUGCAUUUGGAACUGUGUGGCUAGAGUGUCGGAGAGGCAGGCGGAAUUCCUAGUGUAGCGGUGAAAUACGUAGAUAUUAGGAGGAACACCAGUGGCGAAGGCGGCCUGCUGGACGAUGACUGACGUUGAGGCUCGAAAGCGUGGGGAGCAAACAGGAUUAGAUACCCUAGUAU